rnacentral:rRNA from 1 species
CCUACGUGAGGCAGCAGUGAGGAAUAUUGGUCAAUGGGCGCGAGCCUGAACCAGCCAAGUCGCGUGAAGGAUGACUGCCCUACGGAUUGUAAACUUCUUUUAUAAGGGAAUAAAGUGAGGCACGUGUGCCUUUUUGUAUGUACUUUAUGAAUAAGGAUCGGCUAACUCCGUGCCAGCAGCCGCGGUAAUACGGAGGAUCCGAGCGUUAUCCGGAUUUAUUGGGUUUAAAGGGAGCGUAGAUGGGUUGUUAAGUCAGUGGUGAAAGUUUGCGGCUCAACCGUAAAAUUGCCAUUGAUACUGGGAGCCUUGAGUACAGUUGAGGUAGGCGGAAUGCGUGGUGUAGCGGUGAAAUGCUUAGAUAUCACGCAGAACUCCGAUUGCGAAGGCAGCUUACUAAACUGCCACUGACAUUGAUGCUCGAAAGUGUGGGUAUCAAACAGGAUUAGAUACCCUUGUAGUC